GAUGUAUUUCAGCUUGUUAAAUGAAUGACCGUAUUCCAGUUCUGUGGGAAUCCGAGGAGUUUUUGAGGGUACAUCAUUACUGUGGGCCUGCCAAUUUCUUUUCAUCUCAGAAGGUCUUGUUGGAGCUCCCCGUGGGCUGAUGGGAUUGUUGCCGAACAGAUUGUGCAGGUGUAAGAGGAGCACUCCUCAACGACGUGGCACCUGUCCAAAGCACUCAACAGCGACACACGGGCCUCCAAGACAUGACUGAACGCAAAGAGAACUGCUGCUGCUAUAAAACACCAUCACAUCUCAACACUUUGAAUUACCGUAAAAUGUGCUCUAUCAGUAAACUGGCCUCGCCGUGCUACCUGGAAAUGAAAGUCUGAUAGGGACCCACCCGAAGGACGCUCUAUGAUCACAGCUCUGUGUUUUCCUCAGUAGUUCCUUCUGCUAUGAGUAGCAUUUACACAGAGACAUUCGCUAAUCGCUACAAUAAGAGACAU
ensembl:lncRNA